GAUUAAGUUAUUAAGGGCGCACGGUGGAUGCCUUGGCACUAGAAGCCGAUGAAGGACGUUACUAACGACGAUAUGCUUUGGGGAGCUGUAAGUAAGCUUUGAUCCAGAGAUUUCCGAAUGGGGAAACCCAGCAUGAGUUAUGUCAUGUUAUCGAUAUGUGAAUACAUAGCAUAUCAGAAGGCACACCCGGAGAACUGAAACAUCUUAGUACCCGGAGGAAGAGAAAGAAAAUUCGAUUCCCUUAGUAGCGGCGAGCGAAACGGGAAGAGCCCAAACCAACAAGCUUGCUUGUUGGGGUUGUAGGACACUCUAUACGGAGUUACAAAGGACGACAUUAGACGAAUCAUCUGGAAAGAUGAAUCAAAGAAGGUAAUAAUCCUGUAGUCGAAAAUGUUGUCUCUCUUGAGUGGAUCCUGAGUACGACGGAGCACGUGAAAUUCCGUCGGAAUCUGGGAGGACCAUCUCCUAAGGCUAAAUACUCUCUAGUGACCGAUAGUGAACCAGUACCGUGAGGGAAAGGUGAAAAGCACCCCGGAAGGGGAGUGAAAGAGAUCCUGAAACCGUGUGCUUACAAGUAGUCAGAGCCCGUUAAUGGGUGAUGGCGUGCCUUUUGUAGAAUGAACCGGCGAGUUACGAUUUGAUGCAAGGUUAAGCAGUAAAUGUGGAGCCGUAGCGAAAGCGAGUCUGAAUAGGGCGUUUAGUAUUUGGUCGUAGACCCGAAACCAGGUGAUCUACCCUUGGUCAGGUUGAAGUUCAGGUAACACUGAAUGGAGGACCGAACCGACUUACGUUGAAAAGUGAGCGGAUGAACUGAGGGUAGCGGAGAAAUUCCAAUCGAACCUGGAGAUAGCUGGUUCUCUCCGAAAUAGCUUUAGGGCUAGCCUCAAGUGAUGAUUAUUGGAGGUAGAGCACUGUUUGGACGAGGGGCCCCUCUCGGGUUACCGAAUUCAGACAAACUCCGAAUGCCAAUUAAUUUAACUUGGGAGUCAGAACAUGGGUGAUAAGGUCCGUGUUCGAAAGGGAAACAGCCCAGACCACCAGCUAAGGUCCCAAAAUAUAUGUUAAGUGGAAAAGGAUGUGGCGUUGCCCAGACAACUAGGAUGUUGGCUUAGAAGCAGCCAUCAUUUAAAGAGUGCGUAAUAGCUCACUAGUCGAGUGACACUGCGCCGAAAAUGUACCGGGGCUAAACAUAUUACCGAAGCUGUGGAUUGUCCUUUGGACAAUGGUAGGAGAGCGUUCUAAGGGCGUUGAAGCAUGAUCGCAAGGACAUGUGGAGCGCUUAGAAGUGAGAAUGCCGGUGUGAGUAGCGAAAGACGGGUGAGAAUCCCGUCCACCGAUUGACUAAGGUUUCCAGAGGAAGGCUCGUCCGCUCUGGGUUAGUCGGGUCCUAAGCUGAGGCCGACAGGCGUAGGCGAUGGAUAACAGGUUGAUAUUCCUGUACCACCUAUAAUCGUUUUAAUCGAUGGGGGGACGCAGUAGGAUAGGCGAAGCGUGCGAUUGGAUUGCACGUCUAAGCAGUAAGGCUGAGUAUUAGGCAAAUCCGGUACUCGUUAAGGCUGAGCUGUGAUGGGGAGAAGACAUUGUGUCUUCGAGUCGUUGAUUUCACACUGCCGAGAAAAGCCUCUAGAUAGAAAAUAGGUGCCCGUACCGCAAACCGACACAGGUAGUCAAGAUGAGAAUUCUAAGGUGAGCGAGCGAACUCUCGUUAAGGAACUCGGCAAAAUGACCCCGUAACUUCGGGAGAAGGGGUGCUCUUUAGGGUUAACGCCCAGAAGAGCCGCAGUGAAUAGGCCCAAGCGACUGUUUAUCAAAAACACAGGUCUCUGCUAAACCGUAAGGUGAUGUAUAGGGGCUGACGCCUGCCCGGUGCUGGAAGGUUAAGAGGAGUGGUUAGCUUCUGCGAAGCUACGAAUCGAAGCCCCAGUAAACGGCGGCCGUAACUAUAACGGUCCUAAGGUAGCGAAAUUCCUUGUCGGGUAAGUUCCGACCCGCACGAAAGGCGUAACGAUUUGGGCACUGUCUCAACGAGAGACUCGGUGAAAUCAUAGUACCUGUGAAGAUGCAGGUUACCCGCGACAGGACGGAAAGACCCCGUGGAGCUUUACUGUAGCCUGAUAUUGAAAUUCGGCACAGCUUGUACAGGAUAGGUAGGAGCCUUUGAAACGUGAGCGCUAGCUUACGUGGAGGCGCUGGUGGGAUACUACCCUAGCUGUGUUGGCUUUCUAACCCGCACCACUUAUCGUGGUGGGAGACAGUGUCAGGCGGGCAGUUUGACUGGGGCGGUCGCCUCCUAAAAGGUAACGGAGGCGCUCAAAGGUUCCCUCAGAAUGGUUGGAAAUCAUUCAUAGAGUGUAAAGGCAUAAGGGAGCUUGACUGCGAGACCUACAAGUCGAGCAGGGUCGAAAGACGGACUUAGUGAUCCGGUGGUUCCGCAUGGAAGGGCCAUCGCUCAACGGAUAAAAGCUACCCCGGGGAUAACAGGCUUAUCUCCCCCAAGAGUCCACAUCGACGGGGAGGUUUGGCACCUCGAUGUCGGCUCAUCGCAUCCUGGGGCUGUAGUCGGUCCCAAGGGUUGGGCUGUUCGCCCAUUAAAGCGGUACGCGAGCUGGGUUCAGAACGUCGUGAGACAGUUCGGUCCCUAUCCGUCGUGGGCGUAGGAAAUUUGAGAGGAGCUGUCCUUAGUACGAGAGGACCGGGAUGGACGCACCGCUGGUGUACCAGUUGUUCUGCCAAGGGCAUAGCUGGGUAGCUAUGUGCGGAAGGGAUAAGUGCUGAAAGCAUCUAAGCAUGAAGCCCCCCUCAAGAUGAGAUUUCCCAACUUCGGUUAUAAGAUCCCUCAAAGAUGAUGAGGUUAAUAGGUUCGAGGUGGAAGCAUGGUGACAUGUGGAGCUGACGAAUACUAAUCGAUCGAAGACUUAAUCAA
rnacentral:rRNA from 1 species